CCUAACACAUGCAAGUCGAACGAGAGAUGAGGAGCUUGCUCUUCAAAUCGAGUGGCGAACGGGUGAGUAACGCGUGAGGAACCUGCCUCAAAGAGGGGGACAACAGUUGGAAACGACUGCUAAUACCGCAUAAGCCCACGGCUCGGCAUCGAGCAGGGGGAAAAGGAGCAAUCCGCUUUGAGAUGGCCUCGCGUCCGAUUAGCUAGUUGGUGAGGUAACGGCCCACCAAGGCGACGAUCGGUAGCCGGACUGAGAGGUUGAACGGCCACAUUGGGACUGAGACACGGCCCAGACUCCUACGGGAGGCAGCAGUGGGGAAUAUUGCACAAUGGGGGAAACCCUGAUGCAGCGACGCCGCGUGGAGGAAGAAGGUCUUCGGAUUGUAAACUCCUGUUGUUGAGGAAGAUAAUGACGGUACUCAACAAGGAAGUGACGGCUAACUACGUGCCAGCAGCCGCGGUAAAACGUAGGUCACAAGCGUUGUCCGGAAUUACUGGGUGUAAAGGGAGCGCAGGCGGGAGAACAAGUUGGAAGUGAAAUCCAUGGGCUCAACCCAUGAACUGCUUUCAAAACUGUUUUUCUUGAGUAGUGCAGAGGUAGGCGGAAUUCCCGGUGUAGCGGUGGAAUGCGUAGAUAUCGGGAGGAACACCAGUGGCGAAGGCGGCCUACUGGGCACCAACUGA
rnacentral:rRNA from 1 species